AGCUACAAAAAAAAAAAAAAAAAGCAUCUGUUCAUUUCACAUGCUGUGUAUAAACUUUUUAAAAGAAAAAUACAGGGAGCUCCAGAGACCCUCUUCAGAUAUUUCCCCCACCCCUGUAACCACAAACAUAUGCACUGAAGCCAAAUUUCAAAUGAGUUUCGUGGCUCAUUCCUGUAAUACCAGCACUCUGAGAGGCUGAAGUAGGCAGAUCAUUUGAGCUCAGGAGUUCAAGGCUGGCCUUGGCAACAUGGUGAAACCCUAUCUCUACAAAAAAUACAAAAAUUAGCCAGGAAUGGCAGUGUGCACCUGUAAUUCCAGCUACUUGUGGGGCUGAGGCAGGAGGAUCACUUGAGACUGGGAGGUCGAGGCUGCAGUGAGCCAUGAUUGUGCCACUGCACUCUAGCCUGGGUGAUGGGAGUGAAACUGUUUAAAAAAAAAAAAAAAAAAAGGAGUGGCGGGGAGUGGGAGUCUCUGCAAAGCUAUGCUUGGUUGACAACCACUGGUGUAGCAUAAACUUUGGUGCCAAACAGACCUUCCCAAUCCCAACUCUAAUAUUUACUUGCUAUGUGGCUCGAACAAGUUAUUUUAACCUCUUCAAGUCUUAAGUUUUCUUAUCUGCAAAAUAGGAUUUUAAAUGUCUGAUUUAGAGUUUUUUUCAGAGAUCAUUUAGACUCAGAUCUUUCUUACUGCAUUUACCACUACAUCAGUACC
rnacentral:lncRNA from 1 species